AUUUGGGAAUUCACCUCCAGCCUCCCAUGAGGAACCCUCCGCGCUGCAAAUCGCUUUUAUUAGAGAACAAGAGAGGCUGCAGAAGAGGCCUGUAAGGUGGGGGGGGGGGAGUGUCCCCCGAGCUGCCUCCCUCUCCUCCAUAUUCACCCUCCGCCUUAAAUGCCUGUCAGCCUGAACGCUCCCGUAACAAGACAGUCCUCCCACCGCAUCCAAGCCCAGGCAGCCCCGUCCCAACAUCACACGGGGGAUGCAACAGAGCCUGUCUCCAGAAGCCCCGCGCCCACUUUCACCUGGGCGCAAAAAGAGAAAAGAAGUGGACCCUCAGGCGCGCAAGGCAUCACGGGAAGAGAAGCCCUCUCUCUCCCCCCCCCCUAACCCUCCAAUCCACCGCCUCCUUCUCGGCCUCGCUUGCUGAUUCGUCCCGUUCGAAUCAAUACAACGCAGAGGGGAGCGUAGCCCUAGCAACGGUCCCGAGGCCUAGCUGAGACCCAGCGAGCAUGCUUUGCGUGAGGAGACUCUGAAUGUGUACAACCAAGAAACAAUCUGAUGGAUCAUUGAAUAAAUCAAUCUAGAGAUCUCAUUUUCAGGCAGAAAUGGCCAGGCUCAAAUAUUCUACUUUGGACAGAUCCCACUCUCUGGAAAAGGCUGCAGAGAAAAGUGGAAAGAAAAGUGAAGAGGAUGACCAGCAACAUGGGGAAUGGCUUAGUUACAAUGGUGGUGGGAGCACUGUUGGGAGGCCUAAAAGAGUGGGUUAGGGACUGCCCAUCAUGAAGGAAAUCUAUUGAUGUCACUAGGAGUUGAAAACGUUCUGUACUUGAUUGUACAAAAGUAAUCAAUAAGGAGAUAACAGUGAAGGGAAGAGUUGAGACAGAGUAAACAACAGAAGAAUGUUUAUUUGAAUCGUGUAUAAGUAGGCAUAUUUGCUUAUUACAUACUUCUUUUUAGUGUACUCUCUUGGUGUACAUUGUACUAUUUUGCAAGCUAUUGCAACAUUAAUCUGGGAAUAAAUCCCACUGAACACUAAAAUAUUUAUUUCUGAAUAAAUCCACUAGAAGGCACAGGCAAAACUAUUCUUGUUGAAGUUGGUCGCAUAUUUUUCAUCUUAGUUGUUUCAGUUUGAACUGGAAAGUGACCCACAUAAUGCCAGGAGACGAGAAGAGAAAGAUGGGGAGGGGAGAGGGGGAGAGUAGAAAUUGAGGUUAUCUAGAUAAAUUAUAAAUUGGUUAGAUUAAUAAUUGUUCUGGGAUCAGUUAACUAUUGUUAAAGUAAAUGGCCUUGAUAUGCCCCUGAAAUACUUCUGCUAUGUGAGUUCUAUACUAAUGGUCUUCCAGGUGCAAUUCAGGUAAUUCGUCUUAAUGAACUUAGGAGACAUGCCUUUUCUAUCAUUAUUCCUGUGCUUUGGAACAGAAUGAUUAAUUCGGCACAAAAAACAACUGGUUGUCCCCUAACACCACUGGAUGACAUCGCCAGGUAUCGCUGUUUCAGCAGAGUAAGGAAGAUACUUAGGGAUGAUUCAAACCCUGGCCAGUGUCUCUUUUCACUUUUACCAUCUGGUAGAACACAGAGAUAUAGCCAGCUGGACAAACAGGUUUAAAAAUAGCUUCUACCCAUGGGCUGUCAGACUCCUAAACACAAUAUAGCACCACAAACAGAUUAAUAUGAUGAAUUUCACUGGUGCCAGUGUAGUGUGUAAUAUGUAUAUACCAUGAUAUAAGAUCAUACACCAGAGUAACAUAGAUGUUGCACAGAAUACGACGUACAUAUGGAAACAUAUGAUUAGUUUUUUCCCUAACUACUUAUAUAAGGAUUAUUCUUUAUAUUAUUCAUGCUGUCUUGUAUUCUUGUAUGGACUGCACCAGUAGAGGCUAAACCAAUUUUGUUGUAUACAUGAUGUACAAUGACAAUAAAGGCUUUGAACUUGAACUUGAA